AUGGUGGUGGACAUGGAGGACGAGGGCCGGAGGGAGAAGAAGGGGCUGGCGGCGGUGGUUGGGGUCACGAGGCGGCACGUGAUAAGGAGCGGCUCCUCGUCCUCCUCCUCCUCCUCCUCGCCGACUUCAUUGCCUCCCCCUGCCGCCGCUGACAGCAACAUAAACGAGAGCGAGGGCGGGGAUCACAUCGCUGAACUCAAGCGUAAGAAAGGGAAAAAACCCAAGCCCCUGAAGUGGAGAUCAACCAACAGCGACAUGAACAAUCAUCGCGGCGGCGAGGCCGAAGAAGGUUCCGACGGAGGCCGCGACGACGACGACGCAGUCCUCUCCUCACUGACCAGAGCCACCACUCCUAGCAGCAGCAGCAGCCUGAUCAUCAGGAAGAGGCCGAGGACCCUUGGAAAGGUGGCUGAGGGCUGUGAUGCUGUGGACCCGCCGGUUCCUAGGAAAUUGAGAUCAGCCAUAAUCAAGCGCGUCGGUCAGGCUGUUCCUUCGUCGCCGCGGCAUGCCAAGAAGAGGCGUCAUCUUUCAGCUAUCAGUGCUCAGAUUUUUCAGAUGGAUCGUGAAACAAGAACCGGCGAGACCAUGCCGUCAAAUUCUUUCACGAAGGAGGAGGAAGUGCUUGCUGAUACUUUGCUAGCACUAUCCCAAAUAGCCCCACCUUCUGAGCCAGCAGCCGACAUGGCGACGGAAAAAGAUGCCUCAAACACAAAUGUUGCCUCAACUUCUUGUUCAGAAGGUGUGAUUACUCCUACAGGAGCUAUCAAGGAGGAUGUCAGAAUAACUUUGUUGCCAACUGAAGCUAACAAAGUGGUUACGCAGUCUGCCUGCGCAGAUCAACAAGUGGAACCAACUGCUACUGCCAGUGUUCCACAACUAAAUCCUGCUUUAGGUGCUCCUCGCAUCAGCAUAAAUCCUGAUUUUCCCAAAGAUGGGAAGAUACAGGACCUUUCUUUGGGACUUUUCGCGAAUUCGCCAAGUCCACCUAAAGAAUCCUUGAAUAAAAGCGCUUGGAAGAAGCCGAAGGCACAAUUUGAUGGUAGUCUAAGUCUAACUAACCAGACAAAGAAGGAGACUCCUCACUGGCUGCUGAAUCGCAAUAAAUCUGGUUUUGUGGCACAUAAUAGAACAAAAGAUGAGAAUAGCAGUGCCAAAGAAGUUAUGCCUGCAAUCCAGGCUCCGCUACCUUGUACCUCAACUGGGUCUUCGAAAAAGCCCUCUUCAAGUACAUUGGGUGCAUGCACAAUAUCUGGCAAAGAAAUUACUACUGCCUGGGCAAUUGCAAAUAAUGACAAGCUUUCCCUUCCUGAAACUGGUGGCCCUGCAAAGACAUGGAAGAGAAGUGUUACCCAUGCCUAUGUGAGUCAUCUUAUCCAAAACCAUUUGGACAAGGAUAAGGCAUCGCAAAACCAAGUAAUCGCCCAGGAAAGAUCACGCAGCCGCAUUUCGAGCUCUCCAAGCGGCUCCACCUUGAAUAAGAAUGGUAUGCAUUUCGACGCAAGGAUCCCAGCUCAGCCUUCUAUCGGGGUUUGCGACAUGGCUCCUGGUCGGCAAGCAAUGGUCAGCAACGAUUUCAUGAACUUGCCCACCUCGGCAGCAUUCUCAGGGCCACAGUAUGUUCAGUAUAUACAUCCCCAGAUGAUCAGCACUCACCGCGGUGGUCCGGCGCCGUAUCAGUCGUAUUCGCAUCUCCCUUGUAGCAGCAGAGGGAAUGUGGCACCCGUGAUGUCAAUCCAGCAGCAGCAGAUGCAGCAGUACAUGUGCGGCCCGGGGUACGCGCCGCACCCCGGCGUGCCGGCGAGCCAGGGUGCCAUGAAGCUCCAGCAGUUCGCACCGACUCCGCAGCAGCAGCAGCAGCAGAUGUGGCAGUACCAUUUCUCCCAGUACCAGCCGAGGCAAGCGGCAGAGGGCGCGGCCGCCGCGGCGUGGCAGAGCGGCCGGCUCCGGGACAUGCCGUCGUCCGGCCCCCUGCGGCCGAUGCAGGCGCUCCAUGCUCCCCCGGCGAUGGCGCCGCCGCAGAUGGAGCUCCUCUGCGGGCCGUACCAGGGCGGCGGCGGCGGGGCCAGACGGCCGCCGCAGCUCAGGCUGAUCUAG
rnacentral:rRNA from 1 species